rnacentral:rRNA from 1 species
GACAGAGGGGGCAAGCGUUGCUCGGAAUUACUGGGCGUAAAGGGCGCGUAGGCGGGAUGGCAAGUCGGUCGUGAAAUCCUUCGGCUCAACCGAAGAACGUCGAUCGAUACUGCUGUUCUUGAGGGUUGCAGAGGAGACUGGAAUUUACGGUGUAGCGGUGAAAUGCGUAGAUAUCGUAAGGAAGACCAGUGGCGAAGGCGGGUCUCUGGACAGUUCCUGACGCUGAGGCACGAAGGCCAGGGGAGCAAACGGG